CGCUAGUAAUCGCGAAUCAGAAUGUCGCGGUGAAUACGUUCCCGGGUCUUGUACACACCGCCCGUCACACCACGAGAGUUUGUAACACCCGAAGACGGUGGCCUAACCUUUUAGGAGGGAGCCGGUCACGGUGGGACAGAUGAUUGGGGUGAAGUCGUAACAAGGUAGCCGUAUCGGAAGGUGCGGCUGGAUCACCUCCUUU
rnacentral:ncRNA from 1 species